UUACAUGGUUGGGGGUGCGUGACCCCAUACCUGUAAGACUACCCAUACGAGCCGAAGGCCCAAGGGCAUCGACAUCGUUCUUAGUAAUGUCGCAGGGCCAAACGGCGGAAGUUUCAACUUAUGGGGACAGCUUUUGACUUGGCGCAACGAGGAAAAACAGGCAAGGAAUCCUACGUGAUCCCAAAAGCAAGCUGUUGUGCAAGUCGCGAACUGGCGCAACGCCUUCCCAGCCUCCGAACUGGUCCGUUCGAUUAACGGACGCCAUCCCUAUGUCACCCACAGGACUAUCUUUUCCUCAGCAAAAACGCGGUCUUCCAGCCACGGAGGCCAACACGUGGCGGCGUGCCUAUCUCCUUCUCUCAGGUCAUUCACGCUGGAACCCCUGACCUGUCGUCACUGAAACAUGGAUUUGCACAGCACUGGCUCUCAUCCGUCGCGGAGAAGAGUGACAGUUCCGUCACCAGAUUUCACCGCGUUCCAUCACCGCGAUGCCGUUUCAAACCUUUUAUUAUCCCACGUUUGAAGUUCUAAAUGGAGCUGCACCAAUUUUCCAACGAGAAUCCAUGCCGCAGUAAUUACAACUCACAUGUAUUUGAAGGAGUGGUGGCAAGAAAGUACGGAGAAGUACUUCUACCCGUUUGACUUUCAAGAUGUCCAAUCACAUCGAGCUGCGUGAUGACCACCUGGAGCAGCACUUUUCGGUCACCCACUUUGGUAAGGCUGCUGGAGGGCCGUACGUCCUCACCCUUGCGCAACAAAAGCCAGGCCGGGCCAGAUCGUGUAGGAGGAACCGCCCGUCCCGCUUUCUGGGCCCCCAAUCCUAAUCCCGAACUUGAACCCGGACGCUAGGGGCUCCGACUCCAGCGUCCGACCCCAGCCCUUUCCCGGUAUCCGAGAGGUCGCACGUUCAAGUCUUAUCAGAUGCCGCUUUUUUCUUCCUCCUGAAUCUUCACUCCUUAUGCCCCUGCGGCAUGGCCCGCUUGCGCACUCCUCAGAGCAUAGAUCCAUUCGGUUCACGGCCGCACUUCACACCUACUUCGCCGUCAGCGACAUCAGCAACGUGAAGGUGGAGGGGCUGCGGGUGCGGUGGGGUCGUGCCAUGGGGGGGAGCCGUGGCGUUGGUGGUGUUGGUGGUGACAGCAGUGGCGAUGGUGCUGGGAUGUGAAGGUGCUCGAAGGUGUUGGACUGGUACAAGGCAGUCUGGUUUGCAUUCGGUUUGCAGGACAGUUCGACAGCUCGACUGCCACCUUGAUGGCUUGACGGCUGUCAGAACAGUUCUGUCCAGCCUCUGUUUCUUUGUCCAUGCUAAGCAGGCCAGAGUAAUAGCAAAUUGAGGCUUGGCUAGGUUGUGGGCGCAAAUCCAGGUGGAGCCAAAGGAAGUAUGCACGGAAAGAAACCCCUCCCCCCCGUCCGUGGUUUGAAUCGGCGGCUGCAAAUGCUUGCUGCCCAGGAUGUUCCAGUUACUGGGCAGUCCUAUCGACCUGCCAGCCUGGCGGCUUGGCUAUCCGUAGCAGCAGUUGUGCUAACAGUGCUACUCAACAACUUGGUCUUUCCCCUCCUAAAGUGUUGCUGCCGCCGCCGCUGCCUUACCCCCCCCUGUAAAGCAGUUGCUCAGGAAUUGUCAGACUACUCUCGCCGCCAUGCGGUUCUGUUCUGCAUCACAGGCCCAGCUGAGCCUUUUGGAGCCGCAGAAGCAGCUGAGCAUGCGUGAUGGGCAGAGCAGCUUCGCAGCAAUAUAAUCACGGCCAGUGGCCAGGGGGACGAGUGCAAUGCACCACGCCAUUCUGCACAGCCUGCCGCCACAGUAUGCCAUCACCAUUGAGUUCGUGAUGUAUCAUCCCAACUUGACGAUCCCACAGCCAUCCUUCCCAUCUGAUGGGUACUCCUCUGGCAAGACAGUCAGACGCUCCCUUAGUGCCGUUGUCAUCAUAUGGAUACAUCACUUCUCGUAACACUUCUGCGAUACAAUAGCCUGAACAGGAUUAUACGUGGCAUCAAUUGCCAUACAUCCAGACGGCUACCUUGGCUACAGUCCAGCGUGCAGCACACCUUCUUCACAAACGUACAGAGCGAUAACAUGCUCCUUUUGCUGGGCUCUUUGGAAGCUAUGUUGACAGUUGCAUUCCUCCGGCGAUGCCUUGAAUAUCCGUACACACCAACAGACACAAUAGGCUGGCCCAAGAUCUCGGUCCUGGAUUCAAGUCCCAGUCUUUUGCAUCCAGGGCACGCCCUCCUCAACGACGCGUCGUUGACUUGUUUUAGUGAGGGGCUGCUUAACUACUGCCGGAAAUCCGGGAAUUGUUCAAAAAAUAAGUUAUAUUAUGUUGAUUGGGGUCCUGCUAGCAGAGUUACUUCUAAGGAGCACGAGCAGAACAAAAGUAAUUGGAUAAAAAUAGAUAGAGAGUGAGUGAGUGAGUGAGUACUCAGUCACUAGUGGCUGAGUGAGUGGGUGAGGCCAUCUAAAGGCACCUGCAAAGUCAGCAGUGGCAAGGCCAGUAAUGGUGAUGAAAGCCACCUUCCACCAAAUACUCAUAUAACUGCUGGACGAGGCACUGUUGUGCUUCCACAAUCUAUGUGCCUUGCCAUGUAGUGGUAGUUGGUGGGGCAGCAGUGCCUAAGCAAACACAUUUGCAGGAGUCUUCCAACACUCUGGGAACCAGGAGCCUUCAUUCCUGAUUCGAUUCACAUUCAUUUCAUCCCUUCAUUUGACUCUUCAUUCCAGGGCCAAGGAUCAUUUUGAAAUGAAGACCCCAUCAUUACAGAAUGAAGGGAACUCAGAAUGAACGCUCCCUAUGGUUUGGAUGCCCUUCAUUCCAAAAUGAAGCAGUCUCCAUAAAACGAGCCCAUGUCCAUCACGUGAUAUGAAGGCCAUAAAAAGAACCGUGUACAUCACGUGGUCUGAAGGCCCCUUCAGUCCAAAAUGAAGCCGGUUCCAUAAUAUGAAACAUAUAUGUCACGUGAUAUGAGUGCCCCUUUCAGCCCAAAAUUGAGCCUUUUCAUAAUAUAAACCCCUGUCCAUCGCGUCAUGUGGACGCGCCUCCAAUCCUAACUAGGAAGGCGUGUUCUUAUCACGUGAUGGACAGUGUCUUGAUACGGAUUUGCUUAUAAACCAAGCCGUCUCAAGACCCUGUCCACCACGUGAUAUGAACGUGCCUUCAGCCCUGAGCAAAGCCGUCUCUACAAAAGAAGACCAUGCAGCUGCCCAUCACAUUACAUAUGCAUUCGUCCCAAAAUCAACGUGCAUCCAUUACCGCCGUCGUUUCUUGCCCCCCUUCCCCUUCGCCUUUAUUUCCAUGAAGGGGAGAUCCGCUUCAGUCAAGACAGCAUCAGGCAGAGAACGUCUGCGCUUUGAGGCGGCCUUUGCUGUCAUCAUGGCUGUUGCAGUCUCCACCACCCACAUCUGAGACCCAGGGCUGCAACAUCCACUCUGGCCUGAUGUCCUGCAGUGGUGGCGCCUGUAGUUGCAUCAGCGGGGACACCCAGACCUGCUGCAGCUGUGUUGGGAAUUCGAAUGCCUGCUUCACCAUGUCCAAGGGGUGCCUGAGUGCAGCAGCAGAAACAAACAUGGCAUGUUGAAGAUUGGGCUUGUUGCUCUGAUUCCAUUCAAUGGCCUGCAGGAAAGGAUAGGUAAACCUGCAGACCUACUCACAGUGAAAGAUGAGCCAAAGAGAUGUUCGUAGUGUGCUAGUCAGGAGGAGGAGGUAUUUUUUGGGGGUGGCUUUGGCGGGUUGUCUCCAAAUUUUAAACUCAAAGUUUGAAACGGUUUGAUUGAAGCUCCACACCUAGCCCCUCACCGUGUUACAGUGGGCUUUAGACUUACAAAGAGCCAGCGGGCCACCUUAAUACGAUGAGGGCAAACAAGACUCCCACCCAGACCAUACAUUGCAAGUCACCUAGACAGCCACAAGCAAACCCAAAUGGACGGCUCAGAACCCAGCUUGUGCGUAUGAACAGCUACAUUGCAUUGCUCUGACAGACGAAGCCACAUAGGCCGCAAGCUUGCUAUCGGCCAUAGCCGGCAGACACGGAAGUCACAAAUGUGCAAUGUUUACGCCCUACAUUUACAGAUGGGCGAGAUUUUGCGAUUUCCUUGCCACUUGCGACUUGCAACCUUGCAAGUUGCUAGCCGUACGCAAGAGUGCACUUCGCCUCGCACCCGCAAUUUGUUUUGCAACCAGCCAUAAUGCCCGCGCCAUAUAAAUGUAAUUCUUUCGGAGCAGAUACGAAUACGUACUAGCUUGACCUUACUGUACAAGAAUAAAACCGGCCACAGACCGCUUGGGAAGCGUUUUACCUGCCGAGAAACUGGCGUAAGCCAAGAGAAUCGGGAUUUCCAAACUCAACUAAGGCUUACAACGUAAAUAAUUUGCUUUGCUCAUGUAGUCAAGCUAGCGAUCAUCAACAUUACACGCCGUACACAUGAGUCAUAGCUCUGCUAGCUUCAAUGUUACGACAAGACCUAACACGAGUCCCUAUAAACUUACUUAUUUGCGUGCCGAAGUACUUGGGAUUGCUGUUUUGGCAGUGCAGCUGCGUGCGUGUAACGCUGCACAACAUGGAAGAGCUGAGAACAAUCACCUUGAAAACACCGGGGGUAUGAUUAUUUGAUGAAUACCUGAUAACUGUUGAUGCGGCUUUCGGUGCGGCUUUCGAUCUUAAUCGGUCUUAAUCUUGUCGCAGGGCCAAACGGCGGAAGUUUCAGCUUACGGGGCACAGCUUUUGACUUGGCGCAACGAGGAGAACCAAGUAAGGAAAUCGUUGAUCCUACCUGAUCCACACAAGCAAUCUGUUGCGCAAGUCGCGAACUGGCGCAACGCCUUCCCGGCCUGCGAACUGGUCCAUUCGAUUAGCGGACGCCAUCCCUAUGUCACCCACAGGACUACCUUUUCCUCAGCAAAAACGCGGUCUUCCAUCGACAUAAGCCAACACGUGGCGGCGUGCCUAUCUCCUUCUCUCAGGUCACCCACAUUGGACUCCCUGACCUGUCGUCACUGAAACAUGGAUUUGCACGGCACUGGCUCUCAUCCGUCGUGGAGAAGAGCGACUGCUCCGUCACUCUGGUGAGCCCAGGCAGAUUUCACCGCGUUCCAUCACCGCGAUGCCGUUUCAAACCUUUUGUUAUCCCAGUCAGCACGUCUCAAGUUCUAAAUGGAGCACAUCUGAAGUUCUAAAUGGAGCACCAUUUUUCCAACGAGAAUCCAUGCCGCAGUAACUACACCUCACACGUAUUUGUAGGAGUGGGAGCAAGAUAGUACGGAGCCGUUAAUCUACCCGUUGGACUUAAAGAUGUCCUGUCGCAUCGAGCUGCGUGAUGACCACCUGGAGCAGCACUUUUCGGUCACCCACUUUGGUAAGGCUGCCGGAGGGCCGUACGUCCUCACCCUUGCGCAACAAAAGCCAGGCCGGGCCAGAUCGUGUAGGAGGAACCGCCCUUCCCACUUUCUGGGCCCCCAAUCCUAAACUCGAACAUGCACCCGAAUUCGAACAUGCACCCGGACUCUAACUCCAGCGUCCGACCCCGGCCCUUUCCCGGUAUCCGAGAGGUCGCACGUUCAAGUCUUGUCAGGUGCCGCGUUUCUCUUCCUCCUGAGUCUUCACUCCUUAUGCCCCUAUGGAAUGGCCCGC
rnacentral:lncRNA from 1 species